rnacentral:rRNA from 1 species
AUUGAACGCUGGCGGCAGGCCUAACACAUGCAAGUCGAACGGUAACAGGAAGAAGCUUGCUUCUUUGCUGACGAGUGGCGGACGGGUGAGUAAUGUCUGGGAAACUGCCUGAUGGAGGGGGAUAACUACUGGAAACGGUAGCUAAUACCGCUUAACGUCGCAAGCCCAAAGAGGGGGACCUUCGGGCCUCUUGCCAUCGGCUGUGCCCAGAUGGGAUUAGCUAGUAGGUGGGGUAACGGCUCGCCUAGGCGACGAUCCCUAGCUGGUCUGAGAGGAUGACCAGCCACACUGGAACUGAGACACGGUCCAGACUCCUACGGGAGGCAGCAGUGGGGAAUAUUGCACAAUGGGCGCAAGCCUGAUGCAGCCAUGCCGCGUGUAUGAAGAAGGCCUUCGGGUUGUAAAGUACUUUCAGCGGGGAGGAAGGGAGUAAAGUUAAUACCUUUGCUCAUUGACGUUACCCGCAGAAGAAGCACCGGCUAACUCCGUG